rnacentral:tRNA from 1 species
GCCUGGGUGGCUCAGUCGGUUGGGCCUCUGACUUCAGCUCAGGUCAUGAUCUCGUGGUUUACGGGUUCAAGCCCCGCAUCGGGCU